CAUCUCCUGUGUUUUGGACUAUAUAAGCCUGAUGUUUUUUGCUGUUCCUUUGAGCAACAUACCCUAUGUGUGUGAGUUAAACCAUCUCCUUUGUAUGUGAUUUAACUCUGCUCCUUCUUGCAAGAAUAAAUUAGUUACCUGAUCAUUGAUUCUCAACCUGGUGUCGAGUGAUAUUUUUCUAACAUAUUGGUCCUUCGAGCCGGAUCCAAGAUCUCCUUUUUUCUCCGGACAAACGAGCCUGACACUGUGCACAGGGAGUCGAGAGACUCUUAGAAAAAGACCCCUACCUUGUUUCCCUUACAAAGAAACAAUUUGGUAAAUAGGGGGGCCAGGUUACGCUGGAGAGGAGAGGAGUGACGGAUCCUUGAACUACCGACACAGGAGAGAAAGUCAAUACAGGCACCGUUUUGGUUUCAACCCCUUGGUUCGCGGAAGGAUACCAAAAAAGUCCUAGAAAGACACAGGUAAACUUAUCUAAAGUACUUUUAAAUGGUUUGUGGUUUCAAACUAGAGGCCUUGGGUAUAAGUAGUUUGUGGUUCAAACUAUGAGGCCAGUUUUUUUAGUUUCUUAAAAAAACUAAAGGAUCUUAUAGUUCGUGGGUGGACUAUAGGGCACAUUUUCUUAGUUUUGGUACGGCUAUUUUAUAGUGGGUGACUAAGUACGGCAAUGGGUUUUUCUUAGUUUUGGGGAACACUAGGACAGUUUAGUUUUCUUAGUUUUGCUAAAACUAUUGCGAGCUUAGAGUACGAGGUACGGCUAUGAGUAUUUUACCUAGUUUUGGGGAAAACUAGGACAGUUUAGUUUUCUGGGUUUUGCUAAAACCGUUGUGAGUUUUAUAGUUUAUGCGUAAGCUAUAGGGCAUAUUUACUUCGUUUUGGGGAAAACUAUAGAAGUCUAAUCAUGGGUUCAUGCUGCAGCAAGACCCGUGGGAAGAAGAUAGAAACAGACAGUCAUCUUAUCAGGAGCUGCUAAAUGAAUGCAGAUGAUCGCAUAGAACGAGUGUGAAGCGAUUAAAAAGUGGCAAAAUAAAUACGACUUCCAAGGGAGGUUAGUGGUAGAGGAAUGCCAACAAUUGAUUGAUAGCAUCGAGAACAAAUGUAAUGGGAAUGGAAAAAGGGAGGAAGAAGAGGAUUUAUUAGGGGCUAUGCUGUGGUUAGCCGAAGCAAGGAAUAGAAGGGAAGGACAUGAGCGAGAGGUAGAGAGGAGAAGGAGAGAAAGGGAAAAUGCUGAGGAAACAGCUAAAUCAGAAAAUGAGAAAUUAGAAAAUGAGGUUUUGUAUAACUUGUAUCCUAAUCUCCCCUAUUCCGAGAAACUUGACGAUCAAGUGAUAUGCAGAUGCCGCCAGCCCCCUCCUCCGUAUCUCCCUCCUGUGGGACCUGCUGUGAUGCAGGAGCAAUGAAUAGAUGAAAACCAUGCACAAGCUCAACACCCCGGGGAUCUCCUCGGACCCCUGGCCUCCUGCUCGUCUCACCCCUCUGCUCCCCCACCGACUCCGCUGCCUUGGCCACCCGCUCCGCCCUACCAACCACCUCCACACACCGACCCUCAUGCUCCCGCGCAGAGAACAGCCGGCAUGAGGGAGGAACCCAGCAACACACAGUCAGAGGGUGUGGACGGGGCCGUGGCGGAAGGGACGGACGAGGUGGAGGGCGAGGUGGGGCACGAGGUGGAGGAAAAUUCCCGGAGGGAAGUUGCUUUUUGUGUGGCAAAUUUGGACAUUGGGAAAACGACUGCAGAGCAAAGAGGCCACAGGAAGGAACGGAAGACUGGGUGGAGAAGGCAUGACUAGAGCCAAGUGCAUCUGCAAAAUCAGGUCAUGUAUUAUCACACCCAAACAUAGACCCUGAACAGAUGAAAAAGGUUAACGUAGAAAGUCAAACAGAAACAACUACAAAACAAGAUAACCCAAAUCAAGAUGACCUAAGACAAAAUGACUCAGACCUUGACGGUGACACAGAAGCAAGUUCAGAUAACGUGUCUAUCAGCUCAUCGGAUGAGGAAGUGGAGAUUUUAGAAUUAGGUACAGUAGAAUUAAUGCUGGCUCACGUAGAGAAACCAUUUGUUACCUUAAAAGUAAUGGGAAUAGAUGUAACUAGAUUAUGCAAAACCGUUUGUUCAAAACAGCAGAUUGUAAGAAUGGAUUUAUGACGUUAGUACUCACUCAACUACAUGGGGGGGAAAAAAUAGACCAGUGGCAUUUUACUCCUCACAGUUGGACACCAUAGCUCGAGCAAUGCCCAUUUGUUUACAAGCAGUAAUAGCAUCCUCCAUGGCAGUACAGGCAUCUGCAACAAUAGUGCUUUUUAGAUCCUUGACUCUAAAAGUAACUCACGUAGUGUCCGUACUAUUGUUACAAAAUAAACAAACCGAUAUGUCACCAGCUAGACAUUUAGCAUGCAUGGCUACGUUGUUAUCACAACCAAAUCUUACUAUCGAGAGAUGUACUACUUUAAAUCCAGCUACACUACAGCCAGUAGAGAUAGAUGGGGAGCCACAUGACUGUAUCGCAGAAACUGAGAACAGAGUGUUACCAAGGACAGACCUGACGGACAUUCCCUUCCCAGAUGCAGACAUAACAAUGUAUGUUGACGGUUCAUGUAAGAGGAAUCUUGAUGGAACUAAUGCAACAGGUUAUGCUGUAGUGACACAGACGAAACUGCUCAAGGGCGCAGCAUUGCCGUCUCACUUAUCAGCACAGGCAGCAGAACUAAUCGCACUAACAGAGGCAUGAAAACUGGGAAAAGGGAAGACAGUUAACAUUUAUACAGACAGCAACUAUGCUUAUUCAUGUAUACAUGUGUUUGCACAACAAUGGAAAAAUAGGGGGAUGGUAACAUCCACAAACAAAUCUAUUACACAUAAAGAUUUAAUCCUAUCACUUUUGGAUGCAGUACAACUCCCUAAGAGAGUGGCGGUCUGUAAGUGUGCAGCACACACUACAGGGACGGACCCAAUUUCCACAGGGAACCGAAAGGCAGAUGAAGAGGCUAAGAAAGCAGCCCAAAGACAGUGACAGGACAAUGACCAAUAUAUUUCUGAAAAUAUGGAACACAUUGAUCAUGACAUCCUAAAAGACAUACAAGCGAAUGCACCUGACAAAGAAAUAUAUACUGGAAGAAGAAGUUGUGUACACAGAAUAAAGAGGGGUUAUGGGAAAGUACAGAACGCAAAUUUGUAUUACCAAAUAGCUUAUUUUGAUAUGCAGCUAUAUUGAGCCAGACCAAGGCUCAACAGUGGGGAUGGUGGAAGUAAUACAGAAGAUAUUCACAGCCUAUGGCUUUACAAACUACUCAAAAAAAUUGUUUAGCAUGUUCUGUGUGUGCACAGUAUAACCCUCAGGGACAGUUCAAACCAAAGAGAGGUAAAAUACCGGAGCCAGUAUCCGUUUCAGCACAUUUGCAUGGACUUUAUUAAACUAAAUAAAUAUGAGGGAAUGAAAUAUUGUCUAACAAUCAUUGACAUGUACUCAAAAUGGAUUGAAGUUUUUCCAACUAGGAAUCCGGAUGCAUUGACAGUGGCUAAAGCCUUGACAAAUCACAUAAUCCCACGUUUUGGAAUUCCGGAAAAGAUCUAUAGUGAUAAUGGCACACACUUUGUAAAUAAAGUAAUUCAGUAUUUGACAGCUGUAUUUGGAAUACAAUUAAAACGACAUUCUCAUCAUCCACAAUCAGCAGGGUUGAUAGAAAGAAAUAAUGGUACAGUAAAAGCUAAACUGAAGAAGAUGAUGGCCGAGACAGGGAAAACAUGGAUGAGAUGCUUAGCACCAGUGAUGCUAAGCAUGCACAUCCUACCUAGUGCUAGAGGGCUAUCACCUUUUGAAAUGUUAUAUGGAAGACCAUAUUAUCUGCCUGAGUUAAAACCAUUUGUAAGAGAGGACGAGAGUAUAAGUGAAAACACAGCAGAAUAUAUGGAAAACAUUUUGAGAAGAAAAGAGAUCACAAAUGUUAUUGUUUGUCCCCUCUGCACAGGAAGUACCUGACACCACACAGACAGUGAAACCAGGAGAGUGAGUGUUCACCAGAGCGAUAAAGAGGAAGAGCUGGCACUCGCCCAAGUGGGAGGGUCCCUACCAAGCACUCCUGUCGACACCGACUGCAGUUAGAGUGGCGGAGAGACCAUCCUGGAUACAUCUGACUGUGAAGCUGUUUAAACCUAAAGACAGAAACUCGCCUCUACUGUGGUGAAGUCUGGCUACAAAGGGAGGUGAUUCCAAUAAGGGCACUUGUCUCAAACCAGUGAAGAAACCAACAGAACCCAGUAGAAUUUAAAGAGUGGACGUUAGCAGGGAAACAGUAACGGGUCUGAGUGAUAGAAACUGACGAUGUACAGAGAAAGAAUUAGGCCAUGGCAUCCAUUCGGAUUACAUUAAAACAUGUGCCUAUACAAUCUACCUACCUCAGCCGUUUGGGUACUUUUGUAUAAGAAUUUUUUAUCUUUUAUAAUCAUUUGUAUUUUUCCAAGUUCUAUGUUAUUCCAUAGUAUAAACAGGAGGGAUAUGUUGGAGAAAUACUGUUUUCUCCACUCUUUGGGUUGUUUUAAUGCACUGAUAUCAUGUGUGGCUCUGAACUGUGUAUGACCUGCCUCUUCUUGUGAUCUUGUGAUAUUUAUGAGAAGACAGACUUGCUGUCUCCUAAAUAUCUCAUUUAUAUGAAGCGUGAAGGAAGUACGUGACUCUUUCCAGAAGACGUCACAGAUGACCCAUCGCAGAUGACCCGACUUUCUGACACCCGCGGCUGAUAUUAGCGCCACCUCGAUUUACGACUUUGUUGUUAUCUCCUGUGUUUUGGACUAUAUAAGCCUGAUGUUUUUUGCUGUUCCUUUGAGUAACAUACCCCAUAUGUGUGAGUUAAACCAUAUCCUUUGUAUGUGAUUUAACUCUGCUCCUUCUUGCAAGAAUAAAUUAGUUACCUGAUCAUUGAUUCUAAACCUGAUGUCAAGUGAUAUUUUUCUAACAAUUACAUUGCGUCAUUAUUGCCAAUAAACAACCAGGUCUCCAGGUACAAAA